AAUACAUGAUGAGGGCAUUUUCUCAACAUUCCUUUGUAUGUCUCCCAUGCUUCAUAAAGUGACUCCCCAUCCUUCUGUGUAAAAGCAUGAAUAUCAUUCCUUAAC